ACCGGGAUAGCCCAAAAGGCAGGAGGCGCGCGCCUGAGCUGCGCGACAGUGGGGGUUCGAAUCCCCUUCCCGGUACCA
rnacentral:tRNA from 1 species